AAAAAUCACUCUUUAUAGUUCCACAACUUUUUUCUUCGUCUUUGCCCCAAUCACACUCCAAUCAUUUAUUUUUCAUAUGAGGGAAAUGUAGGAUUGUGUGGAUUUCCUUUGACAAGAAAAUGCAAUGUGGAGAAUGGGCAGUGGCUGCAGCCAGAAGAAGAAGAUGAUGAUGAAGAGUAUGGAUUUAUAGAUGGAUUUGGAUGGAGAAGUGUGGUGAUGGGAUAUGGAAGUGGAUUCAUAGUUGGAAUAGGAAUUGGUUACAUUAUAAUUAGAAAUGGAAGGCCAAGAUGGUUAGUGGAAUUCUUUUUCGGCAUUGGAUUUAGUAAUUUAUAAGAUGAAGAAGAGACGCAGCAGAGCUACACCAACACCAACACGCAGGAGAACUCAUUUGGAACUUAGUGUGUUUUGCUCGAAUUCAACUUUAGAGUUUAUGAAAUGUUGUUGUAUAUUCGAAUCUGUUAAGUUCUAAUUUUAUCUUGUUUAGGUCAUUGUUUAGAUUUAUUUUAACAGUUUUGUGAUUUUUUUGUUUUUUGUUUUUUUUGUUUUGAGGGGCACUUUUGUGAUUUUUUUGAUUUUCCACACUAAUAAUUUUACUCGAGCAAAAAUGCUACGUGUGAGGACAAAGAAUUAUGAUUUGCACAGACAAGUUGAAAAGGUUAAGUUUAAAUUGAUUAUAUAAGCUUCCUUCGUUAGUAGGCUAAAAGUGCAUAGUUUCAUUAUGCAAUUGACUUGACUUAAACUAAGCAAGAAAAUCUAUUCUUUUUCAUGCUAUGUUUGAUUUUGCAUAGAAAAUUAAUUCUAGUAUACCUCUAUUCUUUUUCAUGCUAUGUUUGACUUGACAUAGAGACGUAUACUAGAAUUAAUUUGCGUAUUUAAUGGUUUGAUCUUGAUAUUGUCACAUUAACUUUUUUAGAGAUAACUGAUUGAAAGGGAAAUUUAAUUGAUAAUUUCCAAGUGCGGCCCAUGCCUUACACGGCGGGAAUAGAAUGGACUUUGAUUCAAGCAGAAGACUAAAUGUGCAUCACAUAUUAUGGAAUUAAUUUCUACGCAAAAUCAAGCAUCCAUAGCAUUUAAAAAAAUAAAAAGUUUUGCUUAGUGUGAGACGACAUUAAACUUAAGAAUCCUUGAUCAUUUAAUUUAGAUUUUUCGACGAGAAAGCUUUAGCUGAAUAAAUGAUCCAAUACUCAUAGUCGUAGCAAGAGAUAAUCCCAAUAUUGUUUAAAAUUCAUUUUUAUCAUGUUGAUAUAUGUAUAACAUUUACACUCUUUAAGAUGAAUUUCUCUUCCAUUUCAUUAAUAUAACGAUUGUAUUAUAAUUUUGGUAAAAGAAUAUAUAUUUUUUUUCUUUCAAAAAAGGAUCGAGAACGGUUCUCCAUUUUCAAAUUCCCCACCCAUUGGUUAAAAUUAUCCCCGACCUACAAGAAGUUGAUUGUGAAUCCACUACAAAAAAACAGUAGAAUUGCGACAGAAUUAACGACGGAUUAACGACGACAUAUAUUUUCGACAAUUAACGAUGGAACUUACAUCGAAUUUACUACGAAAAAAUUUUAUCGACGGAAUUUCCGUCCUAAGUAUUUGCUACUGAAUUGUUCUGUAGUUAAAAGUAAGGAAUAUUUAAUUAUUUAAAUAAUUAAAUAUUAACUAUGGAAUAUUUCCAUAGUUAAAAAUAAUGAAUAUUAAUUAUUUAUAUAAUUUAUAUCAGUCUGUGCAACAAUGAAUAUUAAUUAUUUAUAUAAUUUAUGUAUAAAAUCUUUUUUUCUUGUUUCUCUAUAUUUGAGUGAGAACUCUCUUCAUUGUCCUAUCCUAUAACGAAUUGGAUUUGAACCUUAGACCUAACGGUGUUAUAUUAUACUCCCUCCGUCCACGAUAUGUUUGGUCUUUUUGUCAUUUUCGUUCACCACAAUAAGUAUGGUUUUUUCAUUUUACUCUCAUUCAUACACAAUAUUUAUAAAAACCCAUCCCACACCAUUUAUUAAUUAACUAACAAUUCAACUUUAAUGGGACUCUUUUUUUCUACUUUAUACACAUCUUUCAAUAUUUUUUUAAAACUUGCGCCCCUUCCACACCACACUUAUUAUCGUGGAAGGAGCGAGUAAUAGAUUAACUCAAUUAAAUAUCUUGCAUAUUUGGACUGUUGCACAGACUAGUCAAAACGGAAGCUUCUUCCAUUUUGCAUUAGUGGGGCCUUAAAAAUGUGGCUAUUUUUUUAUUUAGUUUCAUUCUGCAAUUGGGUUGACUUGUAAAUCGUCUUUGUCGCUUUUGCCUCCAAAAUUCUACCUUCACCACAAUUAUUCACACUCCCAUUUAUAAACUGGGCGUUGCUUAUAAGAUAAUGGAAAAAUAAGUUGGGGUAGAUGAACUUAUUUUUUGAGGAGCUUAUAAGCUCUUGGAGCUUAUUUUUAUAGCUUAUAAGCUGGUUAGGAGCUUAUUUUGCAAACACUUUGAAGGAGCUAUAACUUCUAAACAACUUAUAAGUAUUUUAAGAGCUUAUAAGUCUGAGUGUAUUAAUGUGUUUGGUACAACAUUAGAGGGUGUUUGGCUGACUUAUAAGUUUGAAAGCUUAUAAGUUUUCAAAGUUUUGGAAAAUAAGCUCUUAAAGAGCUUAUAAGCUCCAAAAAUAAGCUCUAAGAGCUUAUAAGCUCUCAAAAAAAUAAGUUCCUCUAUCCAACUUAUUUUCUCAUUAUCUUAUAAGUAACACUCAUUUUAUAAAAAUAAUUCAACUAUAAUUUUUUAUUUUCAUUAUAUAUCAUUUUAAUUUCAUUUUUCUUCGAUUUUCUCUUUCUAAAUUUUUUUUUCUCUCACUAAUUAAAAAUUCUCUCUUUAGCUUAUAAGCUAAAUUACCCAAACACUUUGACAACUUAUAAGCUACUAAUAAACUACAUCUUAUAAGCUCUUGAAACAUCUUAUAAGCUCUUUAAAAUAAGCUUAGCCAAACACAAAUCAUGGCAUUAACUUUUCCCAUUUGCCACAACUACCUUAUAGUGACUUAAUUCAUUUCCCUAAUUUCGAAUAUCAUUUGAAACUUUCAGACAAAAUAACUGUUGCUCGAAAUGAUAGCUUCUUUCAUUUUCCAUUAAUGGGACCAACAAAAUGUGGCCAUAUAAAUGGCAUGAGAUAGGCUUCUUGUCUGCGCACACAACUACAAUUAGCACUCUGCAUUUGCGAUAUGGAGAGAGUUUCUUCCCAUUUUCUCGUGCUUGCACUACUCUUACAAUCCAUUAUUUGAUGGAUUAUAGCUCAGCCAAAAACGAUAUCAACACCGAUCGUUCUUCACUUCUUGCCUUGAAAUCUCAAAUCACUUUAGAUCCUCAAAAUAUAUUGACCCAAAAUUGGAGCACUGAAGCCAGUGUUUGUAGUUGGAUCGGAGUUACUUGUGAUUCACAUUACAAUAGGGUGACUCAGUUGAAUAUAUCGGACAUGGGUCUUGUGGGAACCCUCCCCAGAAAUGGGAUCUUUCUUCUCUCGUUUCUUUAGGGAACGGAACUCCUUUCAUGGCCCCAUUCCCCCAUCUAUCUUCAACAUGUCAUUUCUAGAAGUUUUGGUUCUAAGUAAUAAUAGUUUGUCUAGUAGUUUACCUCUUGAUAUGUAGCAAACACAAAUCUGCAUAGACUCAAGAGGCUUCGUUUGUCUUCAACGAGUUGUAUGGGGAAAUACCAUCGAGUUUGGGGCGUGUUCACAGCUUGAGUUCUUCUUGACAACAUUUCACUGGAUUUGUGCCAGAGAAUUGGGAACUUGACGAAGCUUCAAAUUCCUUGUGAAAUAGUUACGGUAAGUUGAUUAUGCCUAUAUUUAUGAGGUCAAAUCAUGCAUUUAAUGCCAUAUUAUUUAAUUCUUUGAUUUAUGUGCUUUGCGUUUAAGGGUCAAAUUUAAACUUUAUAUCGGGUGAUAAGUAAUAUUUUCCCUAUACGUUUCAAUCUAGAAUUAGCUAGACUAACUUUAUAUUGAUCUUUGUCUUCCGUUGAUUAGUGGAAUAAAUAUCAUUAUACUUAAAAUAGUAUACAGCUCAAUCUCCCAACCGAUCAAAUCGCGUAUUUUAUUUAUUAUUGUUAUGAUCGUUAUACUUAACAAUAUGGAACUUGACUUUGAUGACUUCAUUAUUCUCCAGGUACUAUUCCGAAAGAAAUUGGAAAUCUUCAUAAUUUGCAGGACAUGCAGUUGGGUUCCAACGAACUUAGCGGAUCAAUCCCAAGAGAAGUGGGGAACAUGACAGCUCUUUCUGACUUAUGGCUCGACAAUAAUAGUUUAAGUGGUACGAUUUAUUAUUCACCUAGCCACAAGUUUAGCUCCUCGAGCUAGCUUACGAGUUAAUUUCUUUUUCUCUUAUUUCAUUUGAUUUUCUUUAAUUAAGAGGUAUGUUGUCUUGAAGUUGGUAGGGGUCAUACAUUGUCUUUUUGUGAUGAUUUGGAUAUAUAUUUGUAGGAGUUAUUCCACAAGAGAUACAUCAUCUUCAUAAUUUACGAAAGUUGAACUUGAGUUCGAACAAGUUGUCAGGCACUUUGCCACCAACCAUUUUCAACAGGUCUUCCUUGACAAUGAUUGAAUUAUCAAGUAACACAUUUAGCGGGGCAUUGCCUUCAGAAAUCGGGAACAUGGAAGCACUACAGUUUUUGUACCUUCAAAACAAUGCUUUAACAGGUAAGAUUUCUAAUACUUGUGUAGUUUUACACGUAUUCAAAUGUUUCUUAAUUUUCAUGUAUGUAUAGCAUUUACAACUAUUGUGAGACCUUUAACUUCUUCUCAUAUCUAUAUUUGACUUUUCCAUAUAGCAUUUACAGCUAUGUUUCUGAAAUCUAUAUUGUUCCUUGUCUUCCAUUGAUUAGUGGAAUAAAUAUCAUUAUAGUUAAAUAGUAUACAGCUCAAAAUUUCCCAUCCGAUCAAAUCAUGUGUUUUUACCUAUUAUUGUUAUGAUCGUUAUACUUUACAAUAUGGAACUUGACUUUGAUGACUUCAUUAUUCUCCAGGUACUAGCUCCUCAAGCUAACUUACGAGUUAAUUUCUUUUUCUCUUAUUUCAUUUGAUCUUCUUUAAUUAAGAGGUAUGUUGUCUUGAAGUUGGUAGGGGUCAUACAUUGUCUUGUGGGAUUAUUCUCCAGGUACUAUUCCGAAAGAGAUUGGAAAUCUUCAUAGUUUAGAGAGCAUGCAGUUGGAUUCUUUGAUGCCAUAUUAUUUAAUUCUUUGAUUUAUGUGCUUUGCGUUUGAGGGUCAAAUUUAAACUUUAUAUCGGGUGAUAAAGUAAUAUUUUCCCUAUACGUUUCAAUCUAGAAUUAGCUAGACUAACUUUAUAUUGAUCUUUGUCUUCCGUUGAUUAGUGGAAUAAAUAUCAUUAUACUUAAAAUAGUAUACAGCUCAAUCUCCCAACCGAUCAAAUCGCGUAUUUUAUUUAUUAUUGUUAUGAUCGUUAUACUUAACAAUAUGGAACUUGACUUUGAUGAAUUCAUUAUUCUCCAGGUACUAUUCCGAAAGAGAUUGGAAAUCUUCAUAAUUUGCAGGUCAUGUGGUUGUAUUCCAACGAACUUAGCGGAUCAAUCCCAAGAGAAGUGGGGAACAUGACAGCUCUUCUCAGCUUAUACCUCCACAAUAAUAGUUUAAGUGGUAUGAUUUAUUAUCACCUAGCCACAAGUUUAGCUCCUCAAGCUAGCUUACGAGUUAAUUCUUUUUCUCUUAUUUCAUUUGAUCUUCUUUAAUUAAGAGGUAUGUUGUCUUGAAGUUGGUAGGGGUCAUACAUUGUCUUGUGGGAUUAUUCUCCAGGUACUAUUCCGAAAGAGAUUGGAAAUCUUCAUAAUUUGCAGGACAUGUGGUUGGGUUCCAACGAACUUAGCGGAUCAAUCCCAAGAGAAGUGGGGAACAUGACAGCUUUGGUCAGAUUAAACCUCGGCAAUAAUAGUCUAAGUGGUAUGAUUUAUUAUCACCUAGCCACAAGUUUAGCUCCUCAAGCUAACUUACGAGUUAAUUUCUUUUUCUCUUAUUUUAAUUUUAUCUUCUUUAAUUAUACUAUGUUUAAAAAGAAUGCAAUACAUCUAUACUAAUAUAAAAAGAGCUUUGGACACAACACACAACAUGUGGAUUGUCUCUAUUUUACACUUAUUACAUGUUUUAUUUAAAGUUAUUUUACAUAUUAUAUAUUUAUAAAAAUAUAUUAAUUCAUCAGAUAUUAUACUAAAACUAUGUGAUAUAUAUCUAUAGUUGUUGAUAAGGCUUAUAAAUAAAUAUAUCUAUCAAAUAAAUUAUUCUCGUUAAUUCACGUGCCCAAAAGUUUUGAGCCACUUAUAGUGGGACGGAGGGAGUAUUUAGUAGAAGUAGUAAACUAAUAGAUUUUCUAUAAAAAAAAUUAUUGUAUGACUAAACAGACCAAAUUGUUAAUUGAAAAAUUAAAUAUAAUAAAUAUUAUAUUUAUAUUUUUUAUUUUAUCAAAUAAAAUAAUAUUAAUUAUGCGUAGAACGUACGCUCUUUCUCCUAGUUCCUUAUAAUUGUUAAGUAAGAUGUUAAACCUUAUGUAAACCAAAUGUUUUGUGCAUUUUUAGAUAUAAAGAAAUUUGAUUCAUGUCCUUCUGUCUUUCAAGUAAUAAAUUUGAAGGUCUCGUACUAACUUUCAGGACAAAUACCAUCUACCAUUGUGAAUAUUCUAUCAUUGGGUGUUCUACAACUCUCUUCCAACAAAUUAAUCGGUGAGCUUCCAUCCUCCAUCUGUAACUUGACAUCUCUUCAUGCUCUUCUUCUCUCAAGUAACACUUUGGAAGGAACAAUUCCAUAAUGCUUUGGAAACUUGAGCUCUCUGUCAUUUUUCAUUUAAAUAAAAAUCAGUUUCGUGGUCUCAUUCCAGCAACAUUUAGCAAGGGGUGUAGUCUUGAAUCCAUCAAUUUGAAUGGUAACAAAUUAAAAAGAUUGGAUUUUUUGGCACCCAAAAAAUAUUCUGUCACAUGUCAACUUCUAGUAAAAUAUUAUUUUACAAUAUUAUUAUAAUACAAUCUGUGUAUUAAUGGAUGGAAGAUAAAUUCAACUUAUAUAGUGUAAAUGUUACAAAAUUAAAAAUUCUCUGGUGCAUUGUGAUGGAGAGUGUGGGAAAAACUGAUAGUGCGCGGGAGGUGUUUGAUAAAAUGUGUGACAAGAAUAUUGAGGUUUCUGGAGCAUGCAAAGAAAGAAACAUGUCUAACAUAUUUUGUGAAAGGGAAUCAAAAUGCUUCUCUACACUUCCACAUAUUUGGAUAUUGCUUUGGGAUGAUUUGAUGAGGUGUUUGUUAAAGGUAUGCCAAAUAAAAUGAAAACUAAUGUCGUCUCAAACUAAGCAAGAAAUCUUUUCUUUUUCAUGCUAUAAUCGAAUGUGGUAAAGACAAAUUAAGCUCUUUCAAAGUGUUUGGUAAAAUAAGCUCUUAAAAAGCUUAUAACCUCCAAAAAUAAGCUCUAAGAGCUUAUAAGCUCCCAAAAAAAUAAGUUCAUCUAUUCCAACUUAUUUUCUCAUUAUCUUAUAGGCAACACUCAUUUUAUAAAAUAAUUCAACUAUAAUUUUUUAUUUUCAUUAUAUAUCAUUUUAAUUUCAUUUUUCUUCGAUUUUCUUUUUCUAAUUUUUUUUUCUCUCACUAAUUAAAAAUUCUCUCUUUAGCUUAUAAACUAAAUUAUCCAAACACUUUGACAACUUAUAAGCUACUAAUAAACUACAUCUUAUAAGUUCUUGAAACAUCUUAUAAGCUCUUUAAAAUAAGCUUAGCCAAACACAAAUCAUGGCAUUAACUUUUCCCAUUUGCCACAACUACCUUAUAGUGACUUAAUUCAUUUCCCUAAUUUCGAAUAUCAUUUGAAACUUUCAGACAAAAUAACUGUUGCUCGAAAUGAUAGCUUCUUUCAUUUUCCAUUAAUGGGACCAACAAAAUGUGGCCAUAUAAAUGGCAUGAGCUAGGCUUCUUGUCUGCGCACACAACUACAAUUAGCACUCUGCAUUUGCGAUAUGGAGAGAGUUUCUUCCUAUUUUCUCGUGCUUGCACGACUCUUACCAAUCCAUUAUUUGAUGGAUUAUAGCUCAGCCAAAAACGAUAUCAACACCGAUCGUUCUUCACUUCUUGCCUUGAAAUCUCAAAUCACUUUAGAUCCUCAAAAUAUAUUGACCCAAAAUUGGAGCACUGAAGCCAGUGUUUGUAGUUGGAUCGGAGUUACUUGUGAUUCACAUUACAAUAGGGUGACUCAGUUGAAUAUAUCGGACAUGGGUCUUGUGGGAACCCUCCCACCAGAAAUUGGGAAUCUUUCUUCUCUCGUUUCUUUAGACGUGAGCGAGAACUCCUUUCAUGGCCCCAUUCCCCCAUCUAUCUUCAACAUGUCAUUUCUAGAAGUUUUGGAAGUAAGGAAUAAUAGUUUGUCUAGUAGUUUUCUUUUUCUAUCUUUAUUAUUCACCUAGCCACAAGUUUAGCUCCUCAAGCUAACUUACGAGUUAAUUUCUUUUUCUCUUAUUUCAUUUGAUCUUCUUUAAUUAAGAGGUAUGUUGUCUUGAAGUUGGUAGGGGUCAUACAUUGUCUUGUGGGAUUAUUCUGCAGGUACUAUUCCGAAAGAGAUUGGAAAUCUUCAUAAUUUGCACGAAUUGUGGUUGCAUUCCAACGAACUUAGCGGAUCAAUCCCAAGAGAAGUGGGGAACAUGACAGCUCUGGUCAUCUUAUACCUCGACAUUAAUAGUUUAAGUGGUAUGAUUUAUUAUUCACCUAGCCACAAGUUUAGCUCCUCAAGCUAGCUUACGAGUUAAUUUCUUUUUCUCUUAUUUCAUUUUAUCUUCUUUAAUUAUACUAUGUUUAAAAAGAAUGCAAUACAUCUAUACUAAUAUAAAAAGAGGUUUGGACACAACACACAACAUGUGGAUUGUCUCUAUUUUACACUUAUUACAUGUUUUAUCUUAAAGUUAUUUUACAUAUUAUAUAUUUAUAAAAAUAUAUUAAUUCAUCAGAUAUUAUACUAAAACUAUAUGAUAUAUAUCUAUAUUUGUUGAUAAGGCUUAUAAAUAAAUAUAUCUAUCAAAUAAAUUAUUCUCCUUAAUUCACGUGCCCAAAAGUUUUGAGCCACUUAUAGUGGGACGGAGAGAGUAUUUAGUAGAAGUAAUAAACUAAUAGAUUUUCUAAAAAAAAUUAUUGUAUGACUAAAUAGACCAAAUUGUUAAUUGAAAAAUUAAAUAUAAUAAAUAUUAUAUUUAUAUUUUUUAUUUUAUCAAAUAAAAUAACAUUAAUUAUGCGUAGAACGUACGCUCUUUCUCCGAGUUCCUUAUAAUUGUUUUUUUUUUUAAAUAUAGUUCCUUAUAAUUGUGAAGUAAGAUGUUAAACCUUAUGUAAACCAAAUGUUUUGUGCAUUUUUAGAUAUAAAGAAAUUUGAUUCAUGUCCUUUUGUCUUUCAAGUAAUAAAUUUGAAGGUCUCGUACUAACUUUAUUAUUCACCUAGCCACAAGUUUAGCUCCUCAAGCUAACUUACGAGUUAAUUUCUUUUUCUCUUAUUUCAUUUGAUCUUCUUUAAUUAAGAGGUAUGUUGUCUUGAAGUUGGUAGGGGUCAUACAUUGUCUUGUGGGAUUAUUCUGCAGGUACUAUUCCGAAAGAGAUUGGAAAUCUUCAUAAUUUGCAGUACAUGCUGUUGCAUUCCAACGAACUUAGCGGAUCAAUCCCAAGAGAAGUGGGGAACAUGACAGCUUUGGUCAUAUUAUACCUCGCCAGUAAUAGUUUAAGUGGUAUGAUUUAUUAUUCACCUAGCCACAAGUUUUGCUCCUCAAGCUAGCUUACGAGUUAAUUUCUUUUUCUCUUAUUUCAUUUUAUCUUCUUUAAUUAUACUAUGUUUAAAAAGAAUGCAAUACAUCUAUACUAAUAUAAAAAGAGGUUUGGACACAACACACAACAUGUGGAUUGUCUCUAUUUUACACUUAUUACAUGUUUUAUCUUAAAGUUAUUUUACAUAUUAUAUAUUUAUAAAAAUAUAUUAAUUCAUCAGAUAUUAUACUAAAACUAUAUGAUAUAUAUCUAUAGUUGUUGAUAAGGCUUAUAAAUAAAUAUAUCUAUCAAAUAAAUUAUUCUCCUUAAUUCACGUGCCCAAAAGUUUUGAGCCACUAAUAGUGGGACGGAGAGAGUAUUUAGUAGAAGUAAUAAACUAAUAGAUUUUCUAAAAAAAAUUAUUGUAUGACUAAAUAGACCAAAUUGUUAAUUGAAAAAUUAAAUAUAAUAAAUAUUAUAUUUAUAUUUUUUAUUUUAUCAAAUAAAAUAACAUUAAUUAUGCGUAGAACGUACGCUCUUUCUCCUAGUUCCUUAUAAUUGUUUUUUUUUUUUUAAAUAUAGUUCCUUAUAAUUGUGAAGUAAGAUGUUAAACCUUAUGUAAACCAAAUGUUUUGUGCAUUUUUAGAUAUAAAGAAAUUUGAUUCAUGUCCUUUUGUCUUUCAAGUAAUAAAUUUGAAGGUCUCGUACUAACUUUCAGGUCAAAUACCAUCUACCAUUGGGAAUAUUCUAUCAUUGAUUGCUCUAGAACUCUCUUCCACCAAAUUAAUCGGUGAGCUUCCAUCCUCCAUCUGUAACUUGACAUCCCUUGAGUAUCUUCAUCUCUCAAAUAACACUUUGGAAGGAACAAUUCCACAAUGCUUUGGAAACUUGAGCUCUCUGGUAAUCUUUCAUUUAAAUAAAAAUCAGUUUCGAGGUCUCAUUCCAGCAACAUUUAGCAAGGGGUGUAGUCUUGAAUCCAUCAAUUUGAAUGGUAACAAAUUGCAAGGACCAUUACCUAAAUCCUUGAUCAAUUGCGGAAGUCUACGAGGCCUCGAUGUUGGAAACAAUAGAAUACAAGCCGAAUUUCCCUUUUGGAUGGAAGUCCUUCCAGACCUUCGAGUGCUUGUCUUGAGGUCUAACAAGUUUUAUGGUAACAUGUCACUUCCUUCGCCAACCAAGAUUCCAUUUCAUAAUUUGCAAGUUUUAGAUAUAUCUCAGAAUAGAUUUGUGGGUUCUCUGCCUCAAAGAUAUUUCAAGAAUUUCAGAUCAAUGAUAGAGGUAAAUGAAACAAACUUGUCAUAUUACGACGCCUUUCAUUCUUAUCUGGAGAUGAGGCUCACCUUGAAAGGGCUGGAUCAAUCAUUAGAGAGAUUGUUGUCAGCCUUUACAGCAAUUGACUUAUCCUCCAAUAGGUUUUCUGGGAGUAUUCCAAAUUCCAUAGGAAAUCUUAAGAUUCUCAAAUACUUGAAUUUAUCCCACAAUAACCUCAUAGGUAAUAUACCUUCAUCUCUUGGAAAUAUGAGUGAACUUGAAUCCUUGGACUUAUCCGUGAACAAGUUGGAUGGAGAAAUUCCAAAUGAAUUGACAAGGUUGACAUUUCUUUCAACACUAAACCUUUCAAUGAAUAAUCUAGUUGGACAAAUACCACAAUCUACUCAAUUUUCCACAUUUGAGAAUGAUUCAAUUUGAGAUUGUGUGGAGUUCCGAUGACGAGAAAAUGCAACAAGGAGAAUGGACAUCGGAUGCAGCCAGAAGAAGAAGAUGGCGAAGAUGAUGAGUAUGGAUUUAUAGAUGGAUUUGGAUGGAGAAGUGUGGUGAUGGGAUAUGGAAGUGGAUUCAUAGUUGG
rnacentral:lncRNA from 1 species